rnacentral:lncRNA from 1 species
GAAAUCAAUUAAGAAGUCGCAGUACUCUAGGCAAGUUCAAGGCCAAGAAUAACUGCACUAAGACAGGUAACAAAACCAAUUUCCUGUCAAUCAUGUUCAUCCCUCCCUCAACCUGACACUGCUAACAAUCAGAAAGAAAGGCCUAACUUGUGGCUUCAACCUUGGGAGGGAAAAAAUGAAAUAUGCAUCAAUGCUCAGGCUUUUCAUGGGGCUGCCCAAGGCUGUGGUUUCUAUCUCAUCUGAUUCAGAGCACUGAUGAGGAAACAGCAGACCUUGGAUGCCUGGGGGCUGGAAAGAAAAAAAUAGGGCCCAGAAGUUUAUGGCAACACCAAAGAACUUGUAAUACUGCAAAAGGCAACUGACACAGCUCACCGCAAUUGGGGAAAAAAGCACAGCUUGUGGCUUCUCCCUUAUUAGAAAAGAGAAGAGUGAAACAUGCAUCAAACAACCCAGCUUUUCAGAAGGCUGCCUGGGGGACUGAUUUGUCUCACAUGACUCAGAACACUGAUGGAACCAGGAUAUACCAGAUACUUUCAGGCCACAGGGAACAAAAGAGAGCUCAGUGGCUUGUGGCAAGACCAAAAAACCUUGAGUACCACAGACACCAGAGAGAUUAAGAGACAACAAGCUCCUGAAAAAAAAAAAGUGUCAAAUCUCUCUAACUGGGAAAUUACAUACAGAUGUCCAGAGAUUACACAUCCCCAGAAAGAUCUGAGAGGCUCUCAGAAUCUUAGCCCAGCUGAUUGGUGAAGUUUUUCCAUUUGAUCCAAACCUGUAAGCACUGAGAGAAAUGGCUAUUUGUUUCAAAUGUGCAUAUCUCAACACAAAGUUACAAAGUACAUGAAGGUUACAAACAUGGUCCAAUCAAAGGAACAAAACAAAUCUCCAGAAACCAGCCCUCCAAAAAUGGAAGGUAUAUGAAUUACCUGACAAAGAAUUCAGUAUAAUCAUCAUGAAGAUACUCAACAAACAAGAAAAUGAUGCAUGAGGAAAAUUAAAAUAUCAACAAAGAGAAAGACUAUUUUUAAGAAGAAACAAAUUCUGGAGCUAAAGAAUCCCCUAACUGCACUGAAAUGUUCAGUAGAAGGGUUCAACAACAGACUUGAUCAAACAGAAGAAAGAAUCAGAGACCUCAAAGACAAGUAAUUUGAAAUUAUCCAGUCAGAAGAGCAAGAAUAAAAAAGAAUGACAGAGUGAAGAAAGCCUAAAGGACUUAGGGUAGUCCAUUAAUAAGAUCAAUAUACACACUAUAGGAUUCCUAGAAAAAGAAAAGAGAGAAAAGGGCAUAGCUUGUUCUAAAAAAAAUUAAUGAGUGAAAACUUCCCACAACUGGGGGAGGAAGCCCCAGAUCCAAGAAGCCAAACAGAUUUCAGCUAAGAUGAAUCCAAAGAAAUACACGUCAAGAUACACUACAAUCAAAUUCUCAAAAGUCAAAGAAUGAAUUUUGAAAGCAGAAAGAGAAAAGUAAUUCAUCACAUACACAAUAAAUCCCCAUGAAACUUUAAGUGGGUAACCAGUAGAAAGCUUGUAGUCCAGAAAGCAGUGGGAUGAUACAUUCAAAUGCUCUUAGGGAAAAAAAAAGGAAACAACCAAGAAUACUAUAUCCAGCAAAACUGUCUGUCCUUCAAAAAUGAAAGAAAAUAAAGACUUUCCCAGACAAACAAAAGCUAGAGGAGUUUAAAACUACCAGAGCUGCCUUGCAAGAAAUGCUAAAGAUAAUACUUCUAGUUGAAAUGACAAUGCAUAGAGAGCAACAGGAAAGCAUUUGUAAGUAUAAAGCUCACUGGUAAAAAUACAUGCACACAUAUCAUAAUGGUGCUAUGUAAAUAACUUUGAAUUCUCAAAUAGGACUUAGAAAACAAAAUUAUAAAAAUAACAAUCAAAAAUAAAUUGAUACACAAUUUUUAAAAAUGUUGUUUAUAGCAUCAAUAACAUGCAAUGGGGAGAAGUCAAAGAGUAGAGCAUAUGUAUGUGAUUGAAGCUAAGUUAUUAUUCGCUUAGAUUGUGAUAUUUAAUCUCCAUAGUAAUCACAAAGGAGAUACCUAGAGAAGAUACACAAAACUGGAAUUAGGAAUCAAAGCAUGUCACUACAAAAAAAAAAAAAAAAAAAAAAAAG